rnacentral:rRNA from 1 species
UACGUAGGGGGCAAGCGUUGUUCGGAAUUACUGGGCGUAAAGGGCGCGUAGGCGGCACAGCAAGUCGGAAGUGAAAGCCUGUGGCUCAACCACAGAAUUGCCUUCGAUACUGUUUGGCUUGAGACCGGAAGAGGUUAGUGGAACUGCGAGUGUAGAGGUGAAAUUCGUAGAUAUUCGCAAGAACACCAGUGGCGAAGGCGGCUGACUGGUCCGGUUCUGACGCUGAGGCGCGAAAGCGUGGGGAGCAAACAGG